AUGCAUCUAGCGUAUUAAGUUCAUGGAGAAAUGGAGUAAUGCAAUAAGAACGAUGACAUGACGUAGACAAGAUCUAUUUAUGUAGAAAUAGACCCCAUCGUUUCAUCCUUAGUAGGAAUGAUACAUACGUGCUGGUUCCCCUUCUGUCACUGGGAUCAAGCACCGUAAGAUCGAACCCACUACAAAGGACCUCUUCCCAUUGUAAGAUAAAUAGAUCAAGUUGGCCAAACAAAACCCAAAUAUUGGGGAAAACAUAUGAGGCUAUAAGCAAUCAUGCAUAUAAGAGAUCAAAGAAGAUUCAAAUAACUUUCAUGGAUAAAAAAUAGAUCUGAUCAUAAACUCAAAGUUCAUCCGAUCCCAACAAACACCCCGCAAAAAGAGUUACAUCAUAUGGAUCUCGAAGAGACCAUUGUAUUGAGAAUCAAACGAGAGAGAGGAAACAAUCUAGCUACUAACUACGGACCCGAAGGUCUACAAAGAACUACUCACGCAUCAUCAGAGAGGCACCAAUGGAAGUGGUGAACCCCUCCGUGAUGGUGUCUAGAUUGGAUAUGGUGGUUCUGGACUCUGCGGCGGCUGGAAUUGAUUUUCGUCGACUCCCCUAGGGUUUCUGGAAUAUUGGGGUAUUUAUAGAGUAAAGAGGCGGUCCAGGGGCACCCGAGGUGGGCACAACCCACAGGGGCGCGCCUCAAAUAGGUGUGUCCAGCAAAGAAUCAAGACUUAAAGCACAAAACAAACAAGCAAAGACUCAUAUAGGUGUGUCGACGAAAUUUUAAGUGAAGCAUAGAGAGCAAUUCUAAAAGGUCAUGGCAUAAUUUUGGCUCUCUCAAAUAGGUGUGUCCAGCAAAGAAUCAAGACUUAAAGCAGAAAAUAAAAAAAACAAGCAAAGACUCAUAUCAUACAAGACGCUCCAAGCAAAACACAUAGUAUGUGAUCAAUAAAAAUAUAGCUUCGAGUAAACUACCGAUGGUCGUUAGAAGAAAGAGGGGAUGCCACUCGGGGCAUCCCCAAGCUUAGUUGCUUGCUUCUCUUUGGAUAAUAACUUGGGGUGCCAUGGGCAUCCCCAAGCUUAGACUCUUCUUACUCCUUAUUCCUUCAUCCAUCGUAAUAUAACCCAAAACUUGAAAACUUCAAUUACACAAAACUCAACAAAACCUUUGUGAGAUCCGUUAAUAUAGGAAAGCAAUUCACUACUAUAAGUACUGUAGCAAACCAAUUCAUAUUUUAUUCUUGCAUUAUAUCUACUGUAUUCCAACUUUUCUAUGGCAAAAACUCAUCAAAGAAAACCAUAGAAUCAUCAAAACAAGCACACAACGCAAAGAAAACAGAAUCCGUCAAAAAUAGAACAGUCUGUAGUAAUCUGGAUAUUUCUAAUAGUUCUGAAACUCGAAAAAUCUUGAGAAAUUAGGAAAACCUGAGCAAUUUGUAUAUUAACCUUCUGCAAAAAUAAUUGGUAUUUUAUCAUGCUCUAUUUAAAAAUGAGAAUUAUUUUCGUGAGCGCAAAAGUUUCUGUUUUUCAGCAAGAUCAAACAACUAUCACCCAAGAAGAUCCUAAAGGCUUUACUUGGCACAAACACUUAUUAAAACAGAAAAAACACAAUAAUAAUAGUAGCAUAAUUGUGCAAACACUCAAGAACAGAAAGCAAAAAGCAAAAAUAAAUUUUAUUCAUUGGGUUGCCUCCCAACAAGCACUGUCGUUUUACGCCCUUAGCUAGGCAUAAGAUUUCAACAAUGCUCACACGAAAGAUAAUAAUUGAAACACAAACAGAGCAUCAUGGAACAUGUGACAAACACAUUUAAGUCUAACAUAAUUCCUAUGCAUAGGUAUUUUAUAGCAAAACAAAUAAUCAAGAGAAGCAAAAACUAGCAUAUGCAAGAAAGAAGAAAGAAACAAUAGCAGUCUCAACAUAACGAGAGGUAAUUUAGUAACAUGAAAAUUUCUACAACCAUAUUUUCCUAUCUCAUAGUAACUACAUGUAGGAUCACGAUCAAAUUCAACAAUAUAUCUAUCAUAUAAAAUUUUCUCUUCAUGAUCCACAUGCAUAAGAGUUUUAUAAUCUUCCAAGAUAGUGGGAUUAACAUCAACUAAAGUCAUGACCUCUCCAAACCCACUUUCAUAAAGAAUUCUUAAGAUUGAAUACUCUCCAAAUAUGUGGGAUUACUUUUACCUAAAGUUGACGCUCUUCCAAACCCACUUUCAAUGUUAUUGCAAACAUAUUCAUCAUGAGGCUUAAAUAAAUUUUCAAGAUCAUAAGAAGAAUCACCCCAAUUAUGAUCAUUCAUUAGCAAUUGGUUCAUCAUAAUUGGAUCUUUUCAAAAGAUUAGCAAGUGGAUGCGGAUCCAUAUCAAUAGAUUUUUAGCAAGUGAAGAUGCAAGCAAAUAGAAGACACAUGGCAACACAAGCAAACAUGAGAUCUGAUGAGAAAAAGGCGAACAAAAAAGAGGGCGAAUAAAACGGCAAAUUUUUGUGAAGUGGGGGAGAGGAAAACGGGAGGCAAAUGGCAAAUAUUGUAAAUUGCAAAGAGAUGAGAUUUGUGAUUAGGAACCUGGUAGAUGUUGAAGAUCCUCCCCGGCAACGGCGCCAGAAAUUCCUUUUGAUGCGGCUUGAAGCUACGUCGGUAUUUCCCCAAAGAGGAAGGGAUGAUGCAGCACAGCGAUGGUAGGUAUUUCCCUCAGUGAUGAGACCAAGGUUAACGAACUAGUAGGAGAACCAAGCAACAAUACAUAAAUGGCACCUGCACACAAAUAACAAAUACUCGCAACCCGACAAGUAAAAGGGGUUGUCAAUCCCUUUCGGGUAGCGGCACUGGAAAUCGGCAAACAGACGUGAGAGAGUAGUAAAUAUUGAUAGAAAGAACGCCAAAUAAAAUAAAGUGCAGCAAGGUAUUUUUGUAUUUUUGGGUUUAAUAGAUCUGAAAAUAAAAGCAAAGGAAAAUAGAUCACAAAGGCAAAUAAUAUGAGAAAGAGACCCGGGGCCCGUAGGUUUCACUAGUGGCUUCUCUCGAGAAAAAUAGCAAACGGUGGGUAAACAAACUACUGUUGUGCAAUUGAUAGAACUUCAAAUAAUCAUGAUGAUAUCCAAGCAAUGAUCAUUAUAUAGGCAUCACGUUCAAGAUUAGUAGACCGACUCCUUCCUGCAUCUACUACUUACUCCACACAUGGACCGCUAUCCAGCAUGCAUCUAGUGUAUUAACUUCAUGGAGAAACGGAGUAAUGCAAUAAGAACGAUGACAUGAUGUAGACAAGAUCUAUUUAUGUAGAAAUAGACCCCAUCGUUUUAUCCUUAGCAGCAAUGAUACAUACGUGUCGGUUCCCCUCCUGUCACUGGGAUCAAGCACCGUAAGAUCGAAACCACUACAAAGCACCUCUUCCCAUUGCAAAAUAGAUCAAGUUGUCCAAACAAAACCCAAAUAUCGGAGAAGAAUACGAGGCUAUAAGCAAUCAUGCAUAUAAGAGAUCAAAGAAACUCAAAUAACUUUCAUGGAUAAAAAGAUAGAUCUGAUCAUAAACUCAAAGUUCAUCUGAUCCCAACAAACACACCGCAAAAAGAGUUACAUCAUAUGGAUCUCCAAGAGACCAUUGUAUUGAGAAUCAAACGAGAGAGAGGAAGCCAUCUAGCUACUAACUACGGACCCGAAGGUCUACAAAGAACUAAUCAUGCAUCAUCGGAGAGGCACCAAUGGAAGUGGUGAACCCCUCUGUGAUGGUGUCUAGAUUGGAUCUGGUGGUUCUGGACUCUACGGCGGCUGGAAUAGAUUUUCGUCGACUCCCCUAGGGUUUCUGGAAUGUUGGGGUAUUUAUAGAGUAAAGAGGUGGUCCAGGGGGCACCCGAGGUGGGCACAACCCAUCGGGGCGCGCCUGGGCCUCCUGGCGCGCCCUGGUGGGUUGUGCUCCCCUCGGAGCACCCCCAGGUGCUUCUUCGGCCCAUUGGUUGUCUUCUGGUCCAAAAAAAUCCACAAAAAGUUUCGCUGCAUUUGGACUCUGUUUGGUAUUGAUUUCCUGCGAUCAAAAAAACAUGCAAAAAACUGUAACUGGCACUUGGCACUAUGUCAAUAGGUUAGUACCAAAAAAUUAUGUAAAAUGACUAUAAAAUGAUUAUAAAACAUCCAAGAAUAAUAACAUAACAGCAUGGAACAAUCAAAAAUUAUAGAUACGUUGGAGACGUAUCAGCAUCCCCAAGCUUAAUUCCUGCUCGUCCUCGAGUAGGUAAUUGAUAAAAAUAGAAUUUUUUAUGUGAAAUCCUGCCUAACAUGUCAUCUCAUAUUCUUUUGCUUAUAGCAUGGACAUUUGGACUUUUAUAUUGUUCAAAGCAGUAGUCUAGUUUUGACAUGAUACUUAAAUACUCAAGCAUAUCAACAAGCAACCAAGUCUUUCAAAAUAUCAACGCUAAAAUAAGUUAUCCCUGGCCCAUCAUGCUCAAUCAUUGAUCCAUUCAUGAAACACACUCGCAUAUUAGCUACACCCAAUGCUCAAGUACGAUCAUAGUGCCCCAUAGUUGGUGCUUUAUAAGAGAAUAUGGAGACUCAAAUUCAAAAAUAAAAAUUUCAUAAAGUAAAAGAAAGGCCCUUGGCAGAGGGAAGUAGGGAUUUGUAGAGGUGCCAGAGCUCAAAGCGAAAAUUGAGAGAUAAAAACAUUUUGAGAGGCAUACUUUUCCCACCAACAAAAACGACUUAGAGUUCCCAACACUUUCCAUGCUAGAUAUAUCAUAGGCGGUUCCCAAACCGAAAAUAAAGUUUAUUCAUUUUUCAACCAUACUUUCACUUUUGAUGGCUAACCGUAUCCACGGGUGCCUUCCAUACCAAAACUUUCCAUGGAAUUUAUUAUUUGACAACAUAAAGUAAAUUCAUUUUUCAUUUCAGGACUGGGCAUCCCUAAUACCUUUGCCUUACUCUCGUGCAAUGACAAGUGAAUAAACACUCAUCGUGAGAAUAACACAUCUAGCAUGGAGAAUAUUAGCCACCCCUCACCGCCUCGCGAACGGUACAAGCACACAAAAGAGAAAUUUAUUUUGAAUAUUAGAGAUGGCACAUACAAAUUUUCUUAGGACGGCAAAAUAAUACCACAUAUAGGUAGGUAUAGUGGACUCAUGUGGCAAAACUGGUUUAAAGGAUUUUGGAUGCACAAGUAGUGAUCAUACUUAGUGCCAAAUGAAGGCUAGCAAAAGAUUGAGAAGCGACCAACCAAGAAAUGAAUAAUCUCAUAAGCAAGCAUUGAGCAUAAUUAACACCGAAUAAUGCACAACAAGUAGGAUAUAAUUUCAUUGCAUAAUUAUUGACUUUCGUGCUUGCAUAGGGAAUCAAAAACCUUAACACCAAUAUUCUUACUAAAGCAUAAUUACUCAUCAAGAUGACUCACAUAUCACAUCAUCAUAUCUCAAAACUAUUACUAAGAAUCAAGUUUAUUUUGUCCAAUGAUCUUCAUGAAAGUUUUUAUUAUAUCCUUCUUGGAUAUCUAUCACUUUGGAACUAAUUUUCAUAUGUUGCUUUUGAAAAGCUCAAACAAAUAUAAGGGAAGAUCAUGAGCAUAUUUUUUUUUCUUGCUCUCAAAUGAAUUUAAGUGAAGUAAGAGAUAAGUUCUUGAAAAUUUUACUAACUCUCAAAAAUAUCUAAGUGAAGCAAGAGAGCAUUUCUUAAAAAAUACUAAAGCACACCGUGCUCAAAAAGAUAUAAGUGAAGCACUAGAGCAAGUCCAUAGCUCAUAUAAAUGUAAGUGAAGUAUAGAGAGCAAUUCUAAAAGGUCAUGGCAUAAUUUUGGCUCUCUCAAAUAGGUGUGUCCAGCAAAGAAUCAAGACUUAAAGCACAAACAAAACAAGCAAAGACUCAUAUCAUAC
rnacentral:lncRNA from 1 species